rnacentral:rRNA from 1 species
AACGAACGCUGGCGGCAUGCCUAACACAUGCAAGUCGAACGAGACCUUCGGGUCUAGUGGCGCACGGGUGCGUAACGCGUGGGAACCUGCCCUUAGGUUCGGAAUAACUCCCCGAAAGGGGUGCUAAUACCGGAUAAUGUCUUCGGACCAAAGAUUUAUCGCCUUUGGAUGGGCCCGCGUUGGUUUGGCUAGUUGGUAGGGUAAAAGCCUACCAAGGCGACGAUCCAUAGCUGGUCUGAGAGGAUGAUCAGCCACACUGGGACUGAGACACGGCCCAGACUCCUACGGGAGGCAGCAGUGGGGAAUAUUGGACAAUGGGCGAAAGCCUGAUCCAGCAAUGCCGCGUGAGUGAUGAAGGCCUUAGGGUUGUAAAGCUCUUUUACCCGGGAUGAUAAUGACAGUACCGGGAGAAUAAGCUCCGGCUAACUCCGUG